UGUGGCUCAGUGGUAGAGCUCUUGCUUUCCAAGCAUGAGACCCUGGGUUUACUCCCCCAGCA
rnacentral:tRNA from 1 species